GGUGAAGUCACAGUGCUUGUGCCCCAGCCUCCCAAGGGCUUUAAUAUUAGUGCACCGCAACUUAGCCGGAUCUUGUUUUUAUUACAAAAUAUGUGCACAGGAAAAUGAUGGUGGUUUUCUCUGGCUGACCAAAUUUUGGAUUCUAGUCAUUCUUCUGUAUCUUUGGAGGACCGACUCUCCAAUUGCCUGUGGAUGCCGAGUGUGCUAUGUGGUUAGAAUCCCCAGGAGGACUCCUUGACACCGAGACGUGGAGUACAUUAAGAUAAGAACGAACUAUCAUUAUUCUGGUGAGAAGAAUGUCUAUUGAACAGAAGGCCUUUCUGUGCUGCCCAGGAUGGAAGGUGGAGGAGACCAACCCACAUGCAUAUUCAGCACAACAGAUUUCCUCCAGUUAUUUCUUUGGUGCACCC